GGUUAAGCGACUAAGCGUACACGGUGGAUGCCCUGGCAGUCAGAGGCGAUGAAGGACGUGCUAAUCUGCGAUAAGCGUCGGUAAGGUGAUAUGAACCGUUAUAACCGGCGAUUUCCGAAUGGGGAAACCCAGUGUGUUUCGACACACUAUCAUUAACUGAAUCCAUAGGUUAAUGAGGCGAACCGGGGGAACUGAAACAUCUAAGUACCCCGAGGAAAAGAAAUCAACCGAGAUUCCCCCAGUAGCGGCGAGCGAACGGGGAGCAGCCCAGAGCCUGAAUCAGUGUGUGUGUUAGUGGAAGCGUCUGGAAAGGCGCGCGAUACAGGGUGACAGCCCCGUACACAAAAAUGCACAUGCUGUGAGCUCGAUGAGUAGGGCGGGACACGUGGUAUCCUGUCUGAAUAUGGGGGGACCAUCCUCCAAGGCUAAAUACUCCUGACUGACCGAUAGUGAACCAGUACCGUGAGGGAAAGGCGAAAAGAACCCCGGCGAGGGGAGUGAAAAAGAACCUGAAACCGUGUACGUACAAGCAGUGGGAGCACAGAGCAAUCUGUGUGACUGCGUACCUUUUGUAUAAUGGGUCAGCGACUUAUAUUCUGUAGCAAGGUUAACCGAAUAGGGGAGCCGAAGGGAAACCGAGUCUUAACUGGGCGUUAAGUUGCAGGGUAUAGACCCGAAACCCGGUGAUCUAGCCAUGGGCAGGUUGAAGGUUGGGUAACACUAACUGGAGGACCGAACCGACUAAUGUUGAAAAAUUAGCGGAUGACUUGUGGCUGGGGGUGAAAGGCCAAUCAAACCGGGAGAUAGCUGGUUCUCCCCGAAAGCUAUUUAGGUAGCGCCUCGUGAAUUCAUCUCCGGGGGUAGAGCACUGUUUCGGCAAGGGGGUCAUCCCGACUUACCAACCCGAUGCAAACUGCGAAUACCGGAGAAUGUUAUCACGGGAGACACACGGCGGGUGCUAACGUCCGUCGUGAAGAGGGAAACAACCCAGACCGCCAGCUAAGGUCCCAAAGUCAUGGUUAAGUGGGAAACGAUGUGGGAAGGCCCAGACAGCCAGGAUGUUGGCUUAGAAGCAGCCAUCAUUUAAAGAAAGCGUAAUAGCUCACUGGUCGAGUCGGCCUGCGCGGAAGAUGUAACGGGGCUAAACCAUGCACCGAAGCUGCGGCAGCGACGCUUAUGCGUUGUUGGGUAGGGGAGCGUUCUGUAAGCCUGUGAAGGUGUGCUGUGAGGCAUGCUGGAGGUAUCAGAAGUGCGAAUGCUGACAUAAGUAACGAUAAAGCGGGUGAAAAGGAAGGUGUGCUGUGAGGCAUGCUGGAGGUAUCAGAAGUGCGAAUGCUGACAUAAGUAACGAUAAAGCGGGUGAAAAGCCCGCUCGCCGGAAGACCAAGGGUUCCUGUCCAACGUUAAUCGGGGCAGGGUGAGUCGACCCCUAAGGCGAGGCCGAAAGGCGUAGUCGAUGGGAAACAGGUUAAUAUUCCUGUACUUGGUGUUACUGCGAAGGGGGACGGAGAAGGCUAUGUUGACGUAGGGCGACGGUUGUCCCGGUUUAAGCGUGUAGGCUGGUUUUCCAGGCAAAUCCGGAAAAUCAAGGCUGAGGCGUGAUGACGAGGCACUACGGUGCUGAAGCAACAAAUGCCCUGCUUCCAGGAAAAGCCUCUAAGCAUCAGGUAACAUCAAAUCGUACCCCAAACCGACACAGGUGGUCAGGUAGAGAAUACCAAGGCGCUUGAGAGAACUCGGGUGAAGGAACUAGGCAAAAUGGUGCCGUAACUUCGGGAGAAGGCACGCUGAUAUGUAGGUGAAGUCCCUCGCGGAUGGAGCUGAAAUCAGUCGAAGAUACCAGCUGGCUGCAACUGUUUAUUAAAAACACAGCACUGUGCAAACACGAAAGUGGACGUAUACGGUGUGACGCCUGCCCGGUGCCGGAAGGUUAAUUGAUGGGGUUAGCGGUAACGCGAAGCUCUUGAUCGAAGCCCCGGUAAACGGCGGCCGUAACUAUAACGGUCCUAAGGUAGCGAAAUUCCUUGUCGGGUAAGUUCCGACCUGCACGAAUGGCGUAAUGAUGGCCAGGCUGUCUCCACCCGAGACUCAGUGAAAUUGAACUCGCUGUGAAGAUGCAGUGUACCCGCGGCAAGACGGAAAGACCCCGUGAACCUUUACUAUAGCUUGACACUGAACAUUGAGCCUUGAUGUGUAGGAUAGGUGGGAGGCUUAGAAGUGUGGACGCCAGUCUGCAUGGAGCCGACCUUGAAAUACCACCCUUUAAUGUUUGAUGUUCUAACGUUGACCCGUAAUCCGGGUUGCGGACAGUGUCUGGUGGGUAGUUUGACUGGGGCGGUCUCCUCCUAAAGAGUAACGGAGGAGCACGAAGGUUGGCUAAUCCUGGUCGGACAUCAGGAGGUUAGUGCAAUGGCAUAAGCCAGCUUGACUGCGAGCGUGACGGCGCGAGCAGGUGCGAAAGCAGGUCAUAGUGAUCCGGUGGUUCUGAAUGGAAGGGCCAUCGCUCAACGGAUAAAAGGUACUCCGGGGAUAACAGGCUGAUACCGCCCAAGAGUUCAUAUCGACGGCGGUGUUUGGCACCUCGAUGUCGGCUCAUCACAUCCUGGGGCUGAAGUAGGUCCCAAGGGUAUGGCUGUUCGCCAUUUAAAGUGGUACGCGAGCUGGGUUUAGAACGUCGUGAGACAGUUCGGUCCCUAUCUGCCGUGGGCGCUGGAGAACUGAGGGGGGCUGCUCCUAGUACGAGAGGACCGGAGUGGACGCAUCACUGGUGUUCGGGUUGUCAUGCCAAUGGCACUGCCCGGUAGCUAAAUGCGGAAGAGAUAAGUGCUGAAAGCAUCUAAGCACGAAACUUGCCCCGAGAUGAGUUCUCCCUGACUCCUUGAGAGUCCUGAAGGAACGUUGAAGACGACGACGUUGAUAGGCCGGGUGUGUAAGCGCAGCGAUGCGUUGAGCUAACCGGUACUAAUGAACCGUGAGGCUUAACCUU
rnacentral:rRNA from 1 species